rnacentral:tRNA from 8 species
GCGGGAGUAGUUCAACUGGUUAGAGCGCCGCCCUGUCAAGGCGGAAGUUGCGGGUUCGAGCCCCGUCUCUCGCG